ensembl:lncRNA
AUGAGAUCGUUAAGAUAUGCUGGAGCCUGACCAUUAAUUGCUUUGUAAGUCAGGAGAAGGAUUUUGAAUUCUAUUCUGUAUUUUACCGGGAGCCAGUGCAGAGCAGCUAAUACAGGAGUAAUAUGAUCCCGUUUCCUUGUUCUUGUCAAUACACGUGCCGCUGCAUUUUGGAUCAACUGAAGAGUCUUAAGCGACAUGUAUGAAGGACUCUGAGGCGUCUGACUGACUGUUGUCUGAGAGAUUCUUCUGACUCAGAAGUCAGCUCCUCCAUCUUUAACUUAUUAAGACUGGAUGCAACAUUUGAGUGUUUCUCCCUUUAGAGCCGGAUGAGACUUUGCCAUCUUUUAUAUGAUGUAAUCGUUUUCGAGACUUGUGACAGAUGAAUGCAUUAGCCUCUUAGCCUCUUAGCUAGCAGGAACGUUUUUUAAAGUUUGGCUUUAGACGAGGGCUGACGAUUCGAUCGUGGGGAGCGACUCUGAUGCCGACUACAGCUGUUACUUGGAUGAAAACAACAAAGACAAUUAAUUUCAGCGAGCUAUCACAUGUUAUUAAACUGCCACUUAGUUUUAUUGAAAAUAUGUCUGGAAACAAGCACAUCGGUCAACAUAUUAAAUACAUUUUUGUUUUGUUUAUUGAUAAAAAAAGUUAAACUGGGUCGUCGAAUAAACAAAAACAAUACAUUUUAUUUGAGUUAUUUUGUUUUAAUUCAACACUAUGAUCUGCUUCAGUUGUCUGGGAUCUUUUAAAUUAGUUUUUAAUUUAUAAUACCAGAAAUAAGAACAAGUAAUGACAAUUGCCCGUAAUUGAAAUGACACGACCUAUUGGCACUAUACGUCGGUGCCACCAUGUACACUAACUCUCGAUUGUUCUGCAGGCCUGCGAUGAGUGAGCGGGUGGAGACAGUGGAGAUCGUCCAUCCUGCUGAAACGUCUCUGCAGGAGGUCAGGGACAGCGAGACUGAAGCUCAGAGGCCUGCGAUGAGUGAGCGGGUGGAGACAGUGGAGAUCGUCCAUCCUGCUGAAACGUCUCUGCAGGAGGUCAGGGACAGCGAGACUGAAGCUCAGAGGCCUGCGAUGAGUGAGCGGGUGGAGACAGUGGAGAUCGUCCAUCCUGCUGAAACGUCUCUGCAGGAGGUCAGGGACAGCGAGACUGAAGCUCAGAGCUCUCAGAGACCAGACUGUCCAGGACCCAGCAUGCCCGCGGGGGGGAGCCUUCUCAGUCCUGAUGAGUCCCCAGACCCCGGGGUGUCUAUCAAGAGUACUGCGUCUAACGAUCACGUCACUAGUUCCUCUCUUGAAGAACCUGUGGCACCAACUGGAUCAAGCUGUGACAAGUCACCAGAUGGCAUCAAUGCACAAAAAAAUACCUCUUCUUAUUACCAGAGGCGGAGGAAGUACAUUCUAUCUAAGUAAAAGUCGUAAUACCAAAGUGUAGAAAUACUCUGCUUUAGCUAAAGACUCAUAUAUGAGACUUAUAUGUCCCCUUUGUUCUACACACGUACAGACUGCUUGCACUCUGUAUGACUAUUGGACCUUCUUUGCAAAGAAUAAAUAUUCUAAAAACAAGUUUAUUCCUCAACAAUCUUCAUUUCAGUAUUAUAAACUUCACUGGUCAUUUGUAUAAGGACUUAAUUCAAACUUUCUACAUAUAUACAACUGGCUAUUGAGGUGACUUGGUGUAAAUAAGGUCAAUUAAUAAAUAUAACAAAAUGAUAUUAACUAUAAUAAUAAUAAUAAUUAUAUUUAAUGUUAAUGCACCUGCUUCAUUGUAGUGCCUAUUUUGAAGUCCCUAUUAAUUGUUUUAUUAAUAUUAAAGUUUCACCUUUAAUUCAUAAUUUCAUGUCUUUGUGUGAUUUCAGUGAACUGACCAUUAAUUAACUAAAAUAACUGCAGUUACAGGUCUGGUGUUGUAUUUAUGUUGUUAUAUCUACAGCAGAGUUUUAGCAGUGCUACAGUAUCAGUCAGAGGCCAGCGGUCUUCUGGCAGGUGAACAUUGUUUUUAGUUGUAAGACUCAUUUAGGCCUCGAGGGUGUACCACUACCCAUCGAACUAUAAAGGGAAGAAU